UAUUUUUCCUCUAUUUGUUGCCUGGUUUGUUCAAUUUUGAAUCAUAAAUUUUCAUUUGACAUGUGAAUUCAGAUGAGUCACACAAUCCGAAAUACUCAGAUGGACGAAGAUAUUUCGGAAAAUGCAGAGAAAAUUGGCAACAAAACCCUUGAACCUGAAUAGAGCACAGACGAGGAGGGAAGAAAGUAUUACACUGUAAGAUUUUUUCCUGGUUUAAGUCGUUACGAACAGGA